rnacentral:rRNA from 1 species
UACGGAAGGCAGCAGUGGGGAAUAUUGCACAAUGGGCGCAAGCCUGAUGCAGCCAUGCCGCGUGUAUGAAAAAGGCCUUCGGGUUGUAAAGUACUUUCAGUCGUGAGGAAGGUGUUAAGGUUAAUAACCUUAGCAAUUGACGUUAGCGACAGAAGAAGCACCGGCUAACUCCGUGUCAGCAGCCGCGGUAAUACGGAGGGUGCGAGCGUUAAUCGGAAUUACUGGGCGUAAAGGGCACGCAGGCGGUUAAUUAAGUUGGAUGUGAAAUCCCCGGGUCUUAACCUGGGAAUGGCAUUCAAGACUGGUUAGCUAGAGUCUUGUAGAGGGGGUAGAAUUCCAUGUGUAGCGGUGAAAUGCGUAGAGAUGUGGAGGAAUACCGGUGGCGAAGGCGGCCCCUGGACAAAGACUGACGCUCAUGUGCGAAAGCGUGGGGAGCAAACAGGGAUUAGAUACC